rnacentral:tRNA from 1 species
UGUGGCUCAGUGUUAGAGCACUUGCUUAGCAAGUGUGAGGCCCUGGGUUCAAUUCUCAGCA